rnacentral:rRNA from 1 species
ACGAACGCUGGCGGCAGGCCUAACACAUGCAAGUCAAACGGGUGUAGCAAUACAUCAGUGGCGCACGGGUGCAUAACGCGUGGGAAUCUCCCCUUAGCUACGGAAUAACGUCGGGAAACUGACGCUAAUACCGUAUAACGACUCCGGUCCAAAGAUUUAUCGGUUGAGGAUGAGCCCGCGUCUGAUUAGCUAGUUGGCGGGGUAACGGCCCACCAAGGCGACGAUCAGUAGCUGGUCUGAGAGGAUGAUCAGCCACACUGGAACUGAGACACGGUCCAGACUCCUACGGGAGGCAGCAGUGAGGAAUAUUGUACAAUGGGCGCAAGCCUGAUCCAGCCAUGCCGCGUGAGUGACGAAGGCCUUCGGGUUGUAAAGCUCUUUUAACGGUGAAGAUAAUGACGGUAGCCGUAGAAAAAGCCCCGGCUAAAUUCGU